rnacentral:rRNA from 1 species
GGAGUCUGGACCGUGUCUCAGUUCCAGUGUGGGGGACCUUCCUCUCAGAACCCCUAGACAUCGUCGCCUCGGUGGGCCGUUACCCCGCCGACUAGCUAAUGUCACGCGAGCCAAUCCGAUACCGAUAAAUCUAUUAAACAAAAACCAUGCGAUCUCUGUUGUUACGGAGUAUUACGCGACGUUUCCAUCGACUAUCCUCCAGUAUCGGGCAUGUUGCUCACGCGUUACUCACCCUUUCGCCGGUCGCCGGCAUUGUAUUGCUACAACCCGCUGCCCCUCGACUUGCAUGUGUUAAGCCUGCCGCUAGCGUUCAUC